UUAGGUGCCAUAGAACUACAAGUAUAUACAAGUGUUCAGUGUUAUAGAGACAACCAUAUCAACUACUUUGUUGUGAUUAAGCAGGAGAGAUGAGCCAGAUAGACUAGCAAAUAGGGAACAAUCAGAAGAGGAAAAACAGCUGAUUUUUUUAAAAGAAGAAAUAAACCGGAAAGCCAAAAGGGUAACAGAAUUAGAACAAACUAUCGAAGAGAUGACCCCGGAAAUUGAUGCCAUGAAAAGCAAGCACAAUCUGAUGUGCGCGAGAGAAAGAGACACUUUUGGAGCUCUAGAUGGAGAGCGAAGAAUUUCAAAACCGAGAAAAGAAUUGAAGGCGAAGGAAAAAGAGGUAGACGAAAAUAUGAAACAGCAAGAGGAAAAGUAAGUUUCCAAUUUGUAUGAUUCAAAAAUUAUAAUUCUUGCUGAAGACUAAACACUGAUAUCGUGCAUUUUCAUUAAUAAAUUUAGUUAAAGACAGUACGGGAGCAUCGCGUCCGUAAUGUUAACGGCCCUAUUCCAAAUGUUAUCACUCUGAAGGUCUUUGAGACUUCUCCCACUUUCCGAAAUUAUUUUUCGCUGGUGCAAAUUGGAUCGUAGACUGAAUCAUAUGCAUCUGUUUAGUGCUCGUAACCUUGCUCGUCGAUGAAAUUACAGCCACUGAAUAAUCUGCUCUAAACUUAGUGAAAUUCAUGCAUCCCCGGGAACAAAAGGUGACGUAGUAAAGAUUAUAAAAACUCUUGAUCUUGUAUGACCUGAUAACUGCAUAUUUGCGACGGAAAUUAUUGAUUUUUGCACUUGGAACCUCUCCAUCUGAAAUGGAAAUAAAUCCAUCGUGAGACGAAAGAUGAUACCUUAUUUUUGUUUUAUGAAUGAAUAUUCAUAACCUUUGUUGAUAUAUUAGAGCAGCAUUUUGUUUGUGAUGUUCUAAUUGACUGCAAUCUGUUAACUGCGUUUCCACUAAAAGACUUAAAUGUCCCUUAAGUUUAUUGUUUUACUUUAGCUUUGCCUAUAGCAUAUCGCGCUUGCAUAUCGUUAGAAUUAUUAGACUUGGAUGUGAACUGCGGAAGAAGGAAAGGCAGAUUCUGGAAACAAAGAGAGAAGCAAAUGAAAAGUCAAUGCCUAUCAGAGUUCACAACUUUUUAAACUUUCGUGAGGUUGGGGUGGCUCUGAAGCCCACUUCAGAAUAGGCAAGCUUAUGUUACUUACGACGAAAAGGAGGCUUUUGGGGGAAUGGAGGAAAAAUUAUUGGAUAUAGUUCGAUGGCAAUAAAUUUACCCGCAAAUGUUAGUGGUGAUUCUUAUACUGCAAAUCAAUACGAAACAGUCAUUUUAAAUGGUGAUAUGUUUUUGUUCCAUUUUUCAUAUUCACCAUUGAUUUAUUUAGCUUCGUCUUCUUUCAUCAAUUUCAACGACUAGUUACAAAGUGCAAUCUUCACAACAGUCCUAUGAAGGUAAUUUUAUGAUAUGUGCUAUUGCAGCGCAAUUUAGUGGUAUCAAAAAUGAGACUUCAAACUCUUUUUUACUAGAAUUGAAGGCCUGAGAAAUGAGCAUCAGAAGAAGGUCGAUGAAUUGUCAGAUGAAAUAAAAAAAAUGAGAGAACAGUAAGUCUCUAACUUAGGUCAUAUUCCAAUUCUAACGAUUUUUUUCAAAUGCUUUUACAUACUGUUAUUGAUAUCACUUAAUGUGAACAUCCAGAGUUAAACAGGUGCUUGUCGUCCUGCAAUAAUUUUGUUCAAGUGAGCUGCAGUCGUCCACCGCUGAAUCCCGGCCCGUCUUAGCUCAAUCAUGCAGUAUUGAGUGGAUCUUAUGUCAAAUUCCUCGCUUGCGAAGAAGUGUUUUAGUCAUUUAUUAACUUAUCUCUAAGGUUGUCGGAGAAAAAUGAUCGUAUCCAGGCAAUUAGUGAGGAAUUCAGCAGGAUUCAUACAAACCAUAAAUCCAGGUAUGAACACCAAAGUUAGUUGUUAGACAUGACCAUUGUUUCUUGUUAUUAACAAAAGGCUAAAUGCGAAAUAAUUAUUGUUGAGCAUGAUUAAGUCUGUAUUCAGUUAAUUCAGCGAAACAGAUGUUUUUAUAGUUUCAGAAGAAAUAUGUUUACUGGUUGUAAAGCAAUCUCGCCAGUAUCUAAAUUGCGCGUUUAGAAUUUAUUCUGAUAGUAGGGGACAUACAUCUAAACUCAAGAUACAUUAUAUGUGACAAAAUCGAGACGAUGGUGAAUACAUUUGAGCUUCUGUGUUUGUGAGAUGGUCACCAUUUCUACCGAAAAACUCCAUAAAAAAUACGCGAUAUCAGGGGUGAGAUGCUCUUCUUUCAAAUGUCUCAUUUUAGACAUGACUCUCUUUUGAGGGAACUUGAAGAAAAGGAGGAGAAAAUCACCCACUAUACUCAGAGGCUAGCUUCUCUCAGUGAAAAGCGAGUUAAGCAAGAUCAGAGAUUAGUGGAAGAUACCACCUCCGCUAACAGACAGUCUGAACUUGAAAAAGCUU